AAUUUGUGUUCUGAUGAUGAACAAAAGUCUGACGGGUUUGGAACGACAUGAGGGUUUUGCACUUGAUAAAAGACCUAUAGACAUCUUCAGAGUUGGAAUGGAGCACCUAACGCCACGAGUCCCGGAGCAAGAGGGGGGCCUGCGACCGCAGAGAGGCUGUCAGCCACAGAAAUGAGAAAUCUUGCACUCCUGGAGAGACCUCUUAGGGAAAUAAGAAAACUGCAUAGAUUUAGGACGCUAUCUCCCAUCUAUCUGGCUAAUGAGCGGGAGGGAAGAACCUGCUGGAGGACUUGUUGAUAUUUGUCCUUCUCCGACUGGCUUUCUGAGAGUUUGUGAUUAGCGCACGGCAUGUUCGCUAGCUUUUGAAGCUCCAGGAACGAUAAGGAGAUUCUGGAGUUUGGGCUCCUCGGUCAUAAAACAAAGCCAUCGUAUGUUGCUCGUACGGAACAGUAAACAUUCAGUUCGGGAAACUUACAAAGUGACCUUGUCCUUUAAUGCUUUGAAGUUGAAUACAGCUGGAAAGAAAUUAAAAAGGACGCAGAUUAAAAAGUGAAACAGCUUUAUAUAUGUGUAUCUGACAGUAGAUGGGCUGUAGCUAUUAUUAUUAAUAAUCAGGGGCGCCGCUAUGAUUUCCAGGCCCCCUGAACAUCAUUGACUCGGGGCCCCGCAACGAUCGCUUUCUGGGGGGGGUUCCCCCUCUGUAAAAAAUGCAUCACGGGCUCCCUCUCCCUCACUGGGCCCUUGGAAAUGUCCUAACCUUCCCCCGUUACAGCGCCCCUGUUAAUAAUAAUCUUUUUUUCAACAUUGAUACUGUAACUUUUUUUUUGUUUGUUUUUUUUGAGCUUCAGAUCAGCAUAUUAGAAUGUU